GAAGAAGCAGACUGAGGUCUGAGUCGAAGCUGGUACAACCUGAAUUUCAGCAUUUGGGAAGGGCUUUUGUGAAUCCAGCUUUCAUUUAUAUGGACCUGAACGUUUCAAGUACCGUGAUCUUGAACGCAAUGACAAAUAUCCUCCCAGCCCUGACAUUUGUGUUCGCCCUGAUCUUCAGUGAAAUAAUUUUGGAUGGGGCAGAAUCACUCGAUAUCAAGACAAAGAUGGGGCAAACCAAAGUGAUCGGAACAUUGCUGUGUGUGGGCGGAGCGAUGCUGCUCUCCUUUUUUCAUGGGCACACCAUUGCUGGUAGUAGCACUCACAUUCACUAGAGAUAUGGAAAGAACGUGACGCCCACCCACCAAAGCCACUCCAUCUUGGGCCUUGCCUUCUCCUUUGUGGCGUUUCUGGCUCAGCAUUUUGGUUCAUUAUACAAGCGAAGUUGAGCCCUAUAUUUAAAGCUUCUUACACUGCCACGAUGCCAAUGUCUCUCAUGGCCAACAUCAAGUGUGCGAUCAUUGGUGCUGCUUUAGAACACGAUCUUGCAGCAUGGUCACUGAGAUCCAAGAUUUGGCUCAUUACAGUUGUCUAUGCGGUAUGUAUACUAGAAAAUUAAAUAAACUUUACAUAUAGUGGAGUUGCCUUAUUGUGGCUUUUCAAGCAUCAAUAGCGUGGGAAAUGUUUUGUACGAAGGUAAUGCUGAUGGUUAUUCAAUUUCAGGGUGUUGUGUGUUUUAUGCUAGCGUUCAGCAUUAUGACUUGAUGUGUAAAUAAAAAGGCGCACUCUACACCUCUGUCUUCAGUCCUUGUUUCAUGGCGCUUUCAUUGACAGUUCUUCGUUUCCUUUGGAAUUCCAGAUUGAUGGUGGCCGUGUUGAUCAUUGCCAGGCUCUACUCUGUUAUGUGGGCGAAGGGCAGAAGAGAGGAAGAGCAGGCAAGAAUUACUGUGCAAGCAAGAAUCACCGAGGAGAUGGAAGGUGGCCAACCCUAACUCUUCAAAAUCAUGGGCUCUACUAACCUAUUCACUAGUUUAUCUUGCUUUUUUUCUUUUUCAAAGGACAGUAGGAAUCAGCUUCCUUUUCAUUCGAGUGACCCUCGUGAUAGAUUGAUAUCUUAAUUAUACUUAUCAAAAAUGCGAAUUCGAAGUGCCUUCAUGGGAUUGCGAGUAAUUGCUCGCUUAUUAGUUAAUAUAUGUAUGACCCUUCUCUAAGAGAGGCAAAGAGAGAAGUGUGCUUAUUAGUUAUUCAUGGCUACCACAUCUUAAUU